rnacentral:tRNA from 3 species
GGCAGGUUGUCCGAGCGGCCAAUGGAAACGGACUGUAAAUCCGUCGGGUUAUCCCUACGAAGGUUCGAAUCCUUCACCUGCCACCC